GUUUGUUUGAAACAAAGAGGCAUGAUGGAGUAAAAACCGUAGCUUUUUUUAAGAGACUAUCUUUUUAUAACAGAAACCAGAAUGGCUGCUGCUAGAUGAGUGUGAGCUGUUUAGUAUGGAAAUAGCAACUUCAAGCUGUAUUUCCCCAGGGCAAGGGGCAUAUGCCAUGUGUCUUCUCUGUCGCCCAUGGGGAAAUGUGUCCCCCUCAGGAACUGGAGACAGGUUCAUGUGUUCUGUAGUCGUGUUGGCCCCCACAAUCCAGUCAAAACAAGAGAGACCCUUCUGCUGUGGUGUUUACAAGUGCAAAAGUGAAAAGAAAGAGACAGCUGAAAAGGAAAAUUCUCCAUUGGCAACAGCUGACAGAUGGUUGAAACCUACUAAAUAUAUUUUGAUGUAUUUGUUUAGGCAAAUACAUAGGUGUGGUGGGUUUUGGUGAGGACGAGAUUAUAGAGUUAAGGGGGUUUUGUGAAUUCUAUAAAAUAAGUUCCUAUUUAUCAGGCCUGUGCAACUCUCCUCAUGAUGCCAUAGUCAGAGCUACAGAGACUCCGCCAACAAAGAACUGGGAAUUUGCUCUGAGACCUCGAACACCACCAAUAAACACCACGCAAGACCCCAGACCAAGCAUCAGGACUGCCCCAAGCUUGGCUACAUCAAGCCAAAGGACAAAACAAAAGGUUGUCUGGUAAAAAAGCAACACUGUGAACACAAUUCCAGUUCCUCAGAGGUCAACACAACACCCAGCCCUGAGAAAGCAGUGACUGAAAACACAAAGAUUGACAAACUUGGCACCUGCACUCUAGGGGUUAUGAAUAAAACACCAAGAACAGAAGGUACACCCAAUGCAGGGGAGGCCACGGUCUGUGAUAACACUGUUGAAAUAAUUUCGCUCUUAAAGGAGGGUGAAAUGCUUAUUAAUCCCUGUUGUAAAGAUUUUGAAAACUGGAAGCAAAAAAUUGAUGAUGGACUUUAUAUCCCUUGGUACAGGCCCUCUGAGUGAAUCUGA